AGGCAGCAGUGGGGAAUUUUGGACAAUGGGGGCAACCCUGAUCCAGCCAUGCCGCGUGCGGGAAGAAGGCCUUCGGGUUGUAAACCGCUUUUAUUUGGGAAGAAGGAGUAAGGGCUAAUACCCCUUAUGACAGACGGUACCGGAUGAAUAAGCACCGGCUAACUACGUGCCAGCAGCCGCGGUAAUACGUAGGGUGCGAGCGUUAAUCGGAAUUACUGGGCGUAAAGCGUGCGCAGGCGGUUCUGAAAGUCAGCUGUGAAAGCCCCGGGCUUAACCUGGGAACUGCGGCUGAAACUACAGGACUAGAAUCUGGCAGAGGGGGGUGGAAUUCCACGUGUAGCAGUGAAAUGCGUAGAGAUGUGGAGGAACACCGAUGGCGAAGGCAGCCCCCUGGGCUGAGAUUGACGCUCAGGCACGAAAGCGUGGGGAGCAAACAGGAUUAGAUACCCUGGUAG
rnacentral:rRNA from 1 species